rnacentral:rRNA from 1 species
UACAGAGGUCUCAAGCGUUGUUCGGAUUCAUUGGGCGUAAAGGGUGCGUAGGUGGCGCGCUAAGUCAGGUGUGAAAUUUCGGAGCUCAACUCCGAAACUGCAUUUGAUACUGGCGUGCUUGAGGACUGGAGAGGAGACUGGAAUUCAUGGUGUAGCAGUGAAAUGCGUAGAGAUCAUGAGGAAGACCAGUGGCGAAGGCGGGUCUCUGGACAGUUCCUGACACUGAGACACGAAGGCCAGGGGAGCAAACGGG